rnacentral:rRNA from 1 species
UCUGGUGCCAGCAGCCGCGGUAACUCCAGCUCCAAUAGCAUAUAUUAAAAUUGCUGCAGUUAAAAAGCUCGUAGUUGGAUCUGGGUUCUGGUUCGGAGACUGCUUGUUCUUAGUGGAGAGAUUUCUCAAAGCUUUGGGCAGUGGUAUUCUGGGCCGAAUCUUCCAGCUGUGUCUGCAUGGGACUUCGGUUCUGUGUAGAUGGAUUCGUUGUGUGUUAUUCCCUCACGGGUCUAUGCCUUCGUUUCCAUAUGCUGUAAUGCCUUUAAUCGGGUGUUCAGUAUGGACAGCACGUUUACUUUGAACAAAUUUGAGUGCUCAAAGCAG